ACAGACUGUUGCAGGAGAGUGGAAGAGGGUCAUUUAAACCAGAGUCAGGGUGACUGGAAGUCUUCCGAGAGGACUGACAAAGGCUGAAGAUAGAUAAGAAUGGCACAAUUAGGCGGGAAACUCCACACAUCUAUUUGGUUGGCCCCGUCUCCUUGGGGCUUAGCAGAAGAUCUGAUUGGGCACAACAGGAAGUCAGAUACUCGUUGCAGGAUUGUAGGAAGGGGCUGCUUGUGUAAGGGCCCUGCAGAGUAGCAAGCUCGCCCUUCACAGGACCACUGUGAGACACAAUCCUUUAACCCUAUGCAAAUACGUAGGGCAGCGGCAGACUCUUGGAAGGAAGAUCUUAAGGGCAGUUGGUGCCAUGAAUUAAAAGCUCCUAGGUGGCUGCCUCUAUGUUUAGCGUCUGCAUGACAUCAUCAGUUGGAACUAAUGAAAGAGGAAAACCAAGGAAGAAAAUGCCACGGUGAUCACCAAAGCUUCCUUCAUGAGUGGGAUCUGGGCUCCCACCGGGGCUCCCCAGGGAUGCCCACGGCUCUAUGGAGGGGGCAGCAAUCCUGAGGGACUUCCUCCUUGUCAAAAUAUGACAGAAGCCAUCCUGCAAAUGAACACUGUCCUGAAAGCAUCGGGAGAAAUAACGUACAGGCCACAGGGAUCUCCCUAAUGUUGAUUCUGGUCAUUGUGAAGUGAAGUCAGUGGUGCUAGUCACGAAAUAUCACUCCAGGCUUGGUGGGUGAACCUUGCUUUGGUUCUGCAAUAUCUACAGCAUCAACUGUGUUUCCAGGUCUAUAUUCUCUUCAAUCAGGGGCUGUUGGAGACAGAGCAUGGCGUGUGCUAUUUUUUGUUCGAUCAAGAUCAUGUCAAAGAAAACCCAGGCACUUCUGCUAAGACAUCUGGAAAGAAGUUGGCCCAGCAUGGUCAGGGCGGCGGCCCUGGUGUCAUCCACUCUAUACUAUGUCAGCAAGAGCACCCCCGCCACCCCAGCCUCUGGAAGUGAGUGGGAUGCUGAUAGCAGAAGGAAAAGAAUCGGGACAAAAGGCAUCGAGGAGAUCUAGAGUGCCAGGCCCACCUCAGGUAUUGCCUAUCUCUCCCUUCUCCAGAGACAGUCAGCAGGGUGGAACCGGAUUCCUGGUCAUGCAAGAACACCUUCAGGGAGGGCUGCUUCAAGGUAACACUCCAACACAGGCUGGGUCCCACAUCACUUCAUGGUGCAAAAAUCAUGGUGCACUAGUCAAGACCUGGAGUUCGAUAAAAUAGGAAUUAGGACAUAAAUAAACUAGUUUUUUUGUUUGUUUGUUUGUUUGUUUUUUUGUCUUUUUGCCUUUUCUAGGGCAGCUCCCUCGGCAUAUGGAGGUUCCCAGGCUAGGGGUCUAAUCGGAGCUGUAGCCACCGGCCUACACCACAGCCACAGCAACAUGGGAUCUGAGCCUUGUCUGUGACUUACACCACAGCUCAUGGCAAUGCCAGAUCCUUAAGCCACUGAGCAAGGUCAGGAAUCGAAUCCACAACAUCCUGGUUCCUGGUUGGAUUUGCUAACCACUGCGCCACGACGGGAACUCCUAAACUAGUUGUUUUGAGUUGAGUGAGUUCAUCUGCCCAUUGACAGGUGGUGCUUUUCCAACUGAAGACAAAAGUUUGACUCAGAACUUGCAAGAAGCAGCCAUUCCCUCCUUGGGGGUAUUGCAGUGAAGGGGAGAAGAAAGUGCCUUCCAGCCUGACCUUGGGUUUGGAAGAACCGUGCUUUGAAUUACUGCCAAUGUGGCCAGGUUCCUUUCUUGGAUCUUUGAUUUAUUACCUCAAAAUAGUGAGAAUUAUUUCAUAGGGGUGUUUAGACGAUUAAGUAAGCUGGUACAAGUAAAGCAUUCGGUGUGUUGUUUGUCGGCGCUUACAAGGGGCUUGGUCACUAUGAAUUUAAAGAAAUAACAACAAAGACUACUGACCUAAAGAUAUUUCAGUUAAUGAAGUUGCUUUGCUUCUUUGAUUCUGACGAAAGGGAAUUUAAACUCUUACAUUUAAAAAGUCAUGAAUUAGCAUGUACAUUUUAAACUCGAUUUUAAAAUCCAGUGAGCUAUUAUUGUUAUCACCAUGCAUGAUAACUUCAUCGAUUGUCUUCUGCCUCAGGCUUCCCUGCGCAGCUGGGUAGGUGCUGUUUGUAAGUGAGUCAGUUUCGCAGAUAGACUGUGACAUGUACAGGUGGCAUUUAAUAAGAGUAUAGCACGUAUCCUUUGUCUUCCCCCCUUGGUUACAUCAUUGGACUGUUUAGAGCAAAGAGAGCAAAAACUAUUAUCCUGAUUUACCAAUCAGGUCUUACCUGGAGAAGAGGCGACUCUGCUUUUUUAUGCUCAUCGGCGUAGGUUUGGGAGGGGGGCACAUUGUAGGUGCUGAUAAACCACAUUUGCAGUUAUUUACCAUUUUGCAUCUCUCCCUCUGUGAAUGCUUCCCUUACGCCAGACCAGUGUAGCGCCCGCCACAGCGACGGCACUGAUGCCAGGCGCGUGUCUGCUUCUCCAGCAGCGUGGGAGACGCACUUCACCUGGGGGCUCCACCCUUCCCAGGUUACAGUUGCUGCGCAGAAGAACAGUUGCCUCUGCUGAUAGGGACUGUCUCAUUGCACCCCUUUUCCAGGCCAUCUGUCUGACCUGGACCCAUUCCAAACACUACGGCUUUGUUGGCAGAAUGGUCUUCCUGCUACAGAAGUUUUGUAAUCUGCUAAUUGACAGGGUAAGGAAAAUUUAUAUUUGGGUUACAGCUGAAAAGUUGGAUGUUUCUUUGAUGGGGCUUUAAAUACUGACAUAUGCUGCGCUGGUUUUUGAUUUUAGGCAUCCUCCUUUGUGCGCGAGCACACGCUCUUUUUCCCUGUGUUCUCUGCCUCAUUGAGGACACGGCAUCCUUUCGAGAAGAACAGCAAUACGAUCUACUGGGGAAUUAUCCUCUACUUAGUUUACUCAUUAAGCAAUGAUUUUAUUAUUAUUAUCUCUUUGUAGUAUGAGACAGAUGGCAAAGAAAGAGUUUGCUUUAUUGAACAAGAUGCAUGGCAAAUCUCCAUGAAUGGUUAAUAUCUUCAGUAGUCAUUCUGUCUAAUAAGCAUCUUGGCUUUUGCACAGGGCCUGGUUCUACACUCAGCCCUUAGUUUAGGUUAAAUGUUCUCAACCCUCUCUCUGUACACAUGGCUGGGGGCAGAAGAAUCUUAGAGAAGGAAAUAGCAUUAAAAUUGUGCUGUUCUAGGGAGUUCCCUUGUGGUGGAACUGGAUCCUUAACCAGUGACCACACUGGUUAAGGAUCCAGUGUGGUCACUGCAGUGGCUCAGGUCGCUGCUGUGGCGUGGGUUUGAUCCCCGGCCCUGGCUGCCAGCAAGGCCAAAACAGAAAUCAUGCCAUUGAUAUGUAUGGUUGUCCUCAUCUUGUGCAGUAACACUCAGUGAUCAAGCCCCGGCCAGACCCAUGUCCCUAAAGCACGUGCUCGUGUUGGGGGCCGUGCACGAGUGUGGAGCAAUAGCCUGCCUCUGGAGCCAAGCAGCCCCCUCAACCUGCAUCAUUACAGCACCCGUCACAAAGAAAGAUGAGAAUGAAAGAAGAUUUCUUCCCUACCUUUGAAAACUUCAAAGAAAUUGUUCCCAAUCUGGUUCUGAUGAUCCAUGUCUCAGGCCAAGCGCACGCAAAGGUUGGAAAUCUGCACACUGAUCGGAAAUAGUUUUGGGAAAGUCGGAUUUAAUCCCACGAGCCCAAUGAUCACUACCAAGAACGAUCAGGGAAAACCAAAGUCCACAGCAAAUUUUAAUUUGCCAACUGCAUAAAAUGUUCAAAAGAGCAGAGGUCUCAUUUACAUUCCUCCCUCUUAUAUGGGAUUUUCUUCCAUAUUAGUAAUUAAAGGGUGCAGGCUAUAGAGCGCAACCAUAUCCCAUAAUAGCCAUCGGGGACACACUAACAACUUCCUUGAAGUAACGCACACUAGGGUGUUUAUGGUUCAGUGUCACAUAGGCUCUCUUUGAUCUAAAUUAGGAUUCAUUGGCAAACUCACAAUAGGCUCCACAUGUACCCCUCUCAACCUCUUUCUUUUAAUCAUGGAAAUUAGAGAUGGAAAAUACCCAUUAAGUCACUUAGUCCACUUCCCUGCCAGGGUAAAAUUGUUGCCUGUGAUACAAGGGGAGGGCUCGGUCCAGCUUACAUUUAAAUGUCUCAGGGGAUAGGCGGCCUCCAGAUUUUAUAAUUUUCCUCUUCCCCUUAAAAUUUGGGGUGUGGGGGGGAAUGCAAAGCAGAGGAAGAGAUUUCUUCCCCGCCUUAGGGGUUGGAGGUAAUGGGUGGUGGGUUGUGAAUGUGCUCACGUGGUGUCAGCUUUCCCGAAACCACGCCCCUUGCGACAGGGGUUCAACCCCUGUCGUCCCCCAGCAGGUUUUCCUCUUCAGCUCAAUGGAGCUUUUCACGGACUUUGCCUGUCCCCUCAAGUGAGCGAGCACCCAGGUCUGAUGAGGGAGCACGAGGCCCAGCAAAGGAGAAGCUUCGUCUGCUUUAGCUCCCGGGUUGGUUGAUGACUUCUUAACUGCACAGGCCCUCCCAGCUUAGCGUGCGAUGCGCCCUAUGAGGUGUGAGCACAGGGGUGGCGGCACUGCCAUCUUAUUCCAGGCGUUUUUCUUGUUGGAACAUUUGGCUUCUGAAAGAGGAGAGAUGCCUGCCGUCGCACGGUGAACCCUCUCCCUGACUGAUGUUCAGCUGCAAAAGCAAGACUCGGCGUCUGCCCGCAUCUUCCGCAUCACCGGAUCGCCAGGAAAGUGGGGAAAGUAGCGACCCCCACCCCCACCGCGGGCCAUGUCCCUGUGGGACCCCCUCUACCGGAGACGGCCCGGCAGUGGCUGAGAUGAGACCUAAAAAGGGAAAUGGUGACCCAGGAUGAGAGUCACGUUUUGGUCUGUUUCAGGGGCUCUCUUUCUGAUGGAGCUGCCAGACUGACCCUAGGGAACCCGCCUCUUUUACAUGAAAGACUAAAGCCUAGUGGAUUAAAGGCAGAGUUUUUUUCAGGAUUUCUGUCAGCAAACCUAAUCCUGGUUAGGGAGCUAUUUCACAUCUCAUGAACGUCGGAAAUAGUUCGGUUUCAGAGUUCACAUUGUGGCACGGUGGAAACGAAUCUGACUAGGAACCACGAGGUUGCGGGUCAAUCCCUGGCCUCGCUCAGUGGGUUAAGGAUCCGUCGAUGACGUGAGCUGUGGUGUAGGUCACAGACACGGCUCGGAUCCUGCGUUGCUGUGGCUGUGGUGUAGGCUGGCGGCUACAGCUCCGAUUCGACCCCUAGGCUGGGAACCUCCACAUGCUCCGGUGGGGCCCUAGAAAAGACAAAAAGAAAAGGAUUCCAUUUCUGCUGGUAAUCAGUGCCAGGCCACACUUAUUCCUCUGAACAUGGCCUUGAACUGUUUGGCAACAUGGGUAUGUGGAAUAACCCCAAACAUACAAAUUCUCAAAUAUAUGAUCAGCUAAAAUAACAGUAAAGGCAUUGAGGAAAGCGUUCUCAUUCAGUUUCUCUUAUGUAUUCUGUUCACAACGUGUAGGCGUGUUCAGACGCUCUCAGUCCACAGAGGAUAUAAUGAGAACACAGGCCAAAAUGAUGGUUGGUAUAAAUAAAAAUGGAGGGGGGAGUUCCCACUGUGGCUCAGAGGAAAUGAAUCCAACUAGGAACCAUGAGGUUGCAGGUUCAAUCCCUGGCCUCACUCAGCGGGUUAAGGAUCUGGCGUUGCCGUGAGCUGUGGUGUAGUCUGCAGAUGUGGCUCGGACCCUGAGUUGCUGUGGCUGUGGUGUAGGCUGGUGACUGUAGCUCCCAUUUGACCCCUGGCCUGGGAACCUCCAUGUGCUGUGGGUGC
rnacentral:lncRNA from 1 species